CGGAGGGGACCUCAAGCGCCGGUGAAGCCCCAGGAGCGCAGCGCAGCGCAGCGCAGCGGUGUCCAUAGGCUGCAAAAGAAUCAUUUGUUGUACAUUGAAAAGAAAACACGUUAGGGAAAGAAGAAUAGAAUGGAAAUGGAAGGAUUCCCUCCACCACCACCCCCUGAAGUUUUAGGAAAUGACGUGCCAAUCACUGCUGCUAAUGAAGAAGAGGACGAAGAAGGAGAACAGUUUGACUUUGAUAGCGGAG